rnacentral:rRNA from 1 species
CCCUUAGAUGUCCUGGGCUGCACGCGCGCUACACUGAUGUGUUCAAUAAGCACCUAACCUACUCCGAAGGGACUGGGUAACCUUUGCAAAGCACAUCGUGAUGGGGAUAGAUUAUUGCAAUUAUUAGUCUUGAACGAGGAAUUCCUAGUAAACGCAGAUCAUCAAUCUGCAUUGAUUACGUCCCUGCCCUUUGUACACACCGCCCGUCGCACCUACCGAUUGGAUGGUCCGGUGAAGCCUCGGGAUUGUGGUUCUUGCCGCUUUAUUGUGGCGUGACCGCGAGAACUUGUCUAAACCUUAUCAUCUAGAGGAAGGUGAAGUCGUAACA